rnacentral:rRNA from 1 species
GUGANGGAUAUAAGNUUUUUANAUUUUAAUUAUAAUAAAUCCCUUAGAUUUAUAACANAAUUCGNCNGCAAGNGNGACGGGNGGUGUGUACAAAGGGCAGGGNNGUAUUCCUCUUGGUAUGUUAAACCAAAGAAGAGUACAAGGCAUUCCUAGUUAAGGCCAAGUGUAAUAAUUAACAAUACACUAUCCCCACCUUAAAUUAAUUAUAUUUAUAUUAAUUAAUCACGAUUUUUAAAUGAUUACCGAUUUACUUUCGAAAUAGGUUGUAAUAUAAUAUUAUAUAUUAUAAAGUAUAUAUACUUAUUAAUGUAAUUAUUGUAGCACGUGUGCAGCCCAGAACAUCUGAGGGCAUCACAGACCUGUUAUUGCCGUAAUCUUACUCUAUUUUAACACAUAUUUAGUAAUGACAGCGGUCCCUAUAAUUUUAUGCUAUAAUUAAAUAAUAAUAGCAAUAAAAGGUUACGGUCACGUUCGUUGCAUUCAUUUAUUAUAUAAUAAUAUAUAUAAUAUGUUCACUUUAAAUCCAUAAAGGCAGAACUAAAUAUUAUAAUAUAUCAUAUAUUUUAUUUACUGAAACGCAAUUAAGCAGACAAAUCACUCCACGAACUAAGAACGGCCAUGCACCACCUAUCAUAUAAUCAUGAAAGGACUAUCAUUUUUAUGCAUAUAAAAAUAUAUAUUUUUAUAUACUAUCGCCUGUCAAUCCUCAAUAUGUCUGGNCCUGGUAAGAUNUCCNGGGGUGAGUCAA